GUCAUCUCAUCACUGGUGAAAGCCAAGAGUGGAGUGUGUCCUCUGGACCCAGCAUCCGGCUUACCCCUGCUUGAUCUUCGGACUUUGAACUGAACACCACUCACUACCAUAGGUAAAGGAUUCAGAGCAAGGGACCUGGGAUUUCGGACGAGUACGAUCUCUGCCAACUGAAGAUGACGUGAGCUGUCUUGAAGAAUAGGAGGCACACCCGAUGGGUUCUUGUGGUAAAUGAGCUGCUUGACCAAGGAGGGAAAUCUAGAAUGAUGGCUUCAUCCCAGCGCUCCAACAGUCAUGACAAAGUAAGGAGAAUAGUUGCCGAGGAGGGCCGGACAGCAAGAAACUUAAUAGCUUGGAGCGUACCACUGGAAAGCAAAGAUGA